GCCUUAAUUUGACUCAACGCGGGAAAUCUUACCGGGUCCGGACACACUGAGGAUUGACAGGCAAUAUCUCAUGUUUAAUAACCGUUAUUAACGUAUCGCGUUAUUUAAUACAUCGAGUGUUAAAUAUGCUAGUCCUUUCAUGAUUAUGUGAUAGGUGGUGCAUGGCCGUUCUUAGUUCGUGGAGUGAUCUGUCUGCUUAAUUGCGUUUCACUAAGGGCCCAUAAAUUCAAGGUAUGUUAGCUAUCGUCGCUCUAUGGACCCCUUAACCGAGUUAAAUCGAGUUAAGCGCGCGUCUUUAUUUAAAGAGUUUAAGACAUUGCGCAUGCUGUUGGGCUCUGAAAGCAACGAACGUGACCGCAACGUCUUGUUGCCUUAAUAAAGUUGUGUUAUAUAGCAUUCAAUUGCUAUUAAUAACCGCUUACAGAGGCUAUUUAAAACUAGACGGACCGCUGUUUCUUUUCUUAAACCAGAGGAAGGUUGCGGCAAUAACAGGU
rnacentral:rRNA from 1 species